UACAGAGGGUGCAAGCGUUAAUCGGAAUUACUGGGCGUAAAGCGAGCGUAGGUGGCUUGAUAAGUCAGAUGUGAAAGCCCCGGGCUUAACCUGGGAACGGCAUCUGAUACUGUUAGGCUAGAGUAGGUGAGAGGAAGGUAGAAUUCCAGGUGUAGCGGUGAAAUGCGUAGAGAUCUGGAGGAAUACCGAUGGCGAAGGCAGCCUUCUGGCAUCAUACUGACACUGAGGUUCGAAAGCGUGGGUAGCAAAC
rnacentral:rRNA from 2 species